UCAAAGUUGUUUUUCUUUUCAUACUCACAACAGUUGGAGGAAUUACUGAAAGUGAAACUUUUAGUCUGAUUACAAAUACAAGUAAAGAAAAGUAUGAAUCUUUCAAGUUUGUUGGUGCCUUUGAGGAGUUGGAUGACAGUGAGUCGACACAUUGGAAGCUUUGUUCUUACUGGGAAGUCAUCUACUUCUGGAAUUCAGCUAUCUCAGACUUCAGGUGCAUUUUUAGGAGUUGGUUUUCAGCAAGUUCGGUACAAUGUUCGUAAUCAUUUUCCAAGACCUAGUGAGCAUAAAAGGGUUAAAAGACAUGGUUACAAAGCUCGAUUAUCCACACCAGCAGGAAGAAGAAUAAUCAUGCGACGUAUACUGAAAGGACGUCAUGUUUUGACACACUAAUAAUAAGAAGCAAAAUUUUUUUAUUACCAGCUACUAGGAAUGGAGCAAAAGUUUAAGCAGUAUGCUGUCAUCAUGAGAGAUUUUUCUUUGAAAGAAAAGUGUGAAAACUAGCACAUUUAGUUAUCAAAGAUUGUGUUCAUUCAUUAAAUUCCAUUGUAAAAGAAAUAUCUUAACAAUGUAGUUUUAUACAUUAUUCAUGUAUAGACAGUUUCUAAAGUUAACACUUAAUUGGAAAUAUACUGUUUUUAAAAACAUAGUGUGUAAUCUCUUUCCAGAAUUAAAAUUUUAAAUCCUGAA